GCUUACGGCCACACCGCCUGGUUCACGCCUGAUCUCGUUUGAUCUCGGAAGCUAAGGUAGGUUUGGCCUGGUUAGUACUUGGAUGGGGAGACCGCCUGGGAAUACCAGGUGCUGUAAGCU
rnacentral:rRNA from 1 species